rnacentral:misc_RNA from 1 species
GUUUCCUCUUUUGGAACUUCCUGGAAUGAAAGGGAUGCAGAAAUACUGGUAGUUAAAGAAAUUUCACUAUACGACAGAUAUGCAUGAAAGAAGUUAUAGCUAGCUCCACAAAACAGUAAGUGUUUGUUAGAUUUAUAACCCAAAAUCCUAGUUGAUUUGGAAGACCUUUUCCACAAUUGGGUGAGAUUCCUAAUUAGAUUAGG